UACGUAGGGUGCGAGCGUUGUCCGGAUUUAUUGGGCGUAAAGAGCUCGUAGGCGGUUUGUCGCGUCGGCCGUGAAAUCUCCACGCUUAACGUGGAGCGUGCGGUCGAUACGGGCAGACUUGAGUUCGGUAGGGGAGACUGGAAUUCCUGGUGUAGCGGUGAAAUGCGCAGAUAUCAGGAGGAGCACCGGUGGCGAAAGCGGCUCUCUAGAACGGUACUGACGCUGAGACGCGAAAAGCGUGGGGAGCGAACAGG
rnacentral:rRNA from 1 species